ensembl:snoRNA SNORA65 small nucleolar RNA, H/ACA box 65
CCCGCCACUGCGCCUGACCGCCUGGUUGGCUGGCGCAAUCCAGUGGUGAGCUGAGAGCAAACCCCGGCUUAGGAAACAGGGUUGUUCUCCAUGUGGGCAACUCUGUGCCGAAAGCACGGGGACAGCC